CCUGCAUACCCACCAAGGAAAGACCACGUGAGAACAUAGUGGGAAUGCAGAUGUCUGCAAGCCAGGAAGUGAGAGCUCUCACCAGAAGCCAACCCUGUUGGACCUUGAUUUGGAACUUUUAACCUCCAGAACUAUGAGAAGAUGAAUUUCUAUUGUUGAAGCCACUCAGUCUAUGCACUUCUCCUUCCUGCCACCCUGUGAAGAAGGUGCCUGGUUUCCCCUUUUCCUUCUGCCAUGAUUUCUCCACUCACUCUUUACUUCUGGGAUGGUGGCAGACACACAGAACUAUCAAGCUGCGAAUUUUAGAGGGGACAUGAGCUAACAAGACACACAAACGGUUGACCAAGGCCUGAAAGGAAGCAUGGGACUUAGACAGCAGAGACAGGGGCAAAGGCCAUUGGAUCUCUGUGAAGUGGCACCUGUUGUUGGGAUAGAGCACUCUAGGAAAGUCAUGAAGAACUGGUGGAACACUCAGCUGAGGUUAUUAAAUCAGAGGAAACAUCUGGGUGACGAUUUUCUUUGGAAGAUAUUUUGUGCUAAAAACUUCAUCCUUGAUUCCUGUGCUAAUGUGUCAUUCAUUUCU